AUCGGUCGAGGAUCUUAACAGUACUGGGACGACUGGCGAGGACGCGCUCUCGUGCCACCUUCAGUUCCAGUAGCUGUAGUUUCCUCCGCAAUGCCCUGCUUUCUUUCUGGCUUUGAGUUAUUUCCAAACGAAACACUGCAUAGUCGUCGUCUACGAGUUUACAGAUGUCUGCCACGGCUGCAUUUGCUAGUACCUCCAUGAUGGAGGCUAUUUGAGUGUGAAAAACCAUACAGUUAGCCAUUGUUAGCAGGUAGCUAGCGUUAUCUUGAUAACAUCUAUCAACCAAGUCCUGUCUUCAACGCGAAUUAAACACUGCCUGGUGUGCCUCUUUAGCUGGUGCUGUUGAGAGAACCUCUUCUCACACUGGGGGCAGCUGUAGGAUUUUUCCAGUGUGGACCCUCUGGGGCCGCUUCAGGGUGGAGAAACUGGCCUAGCAGAGGUGGCAGCCGAACGGGUUUACCCCUGUGUGCAUCCUCUGAUGGAUCUUUGAAUGAACUGGCGCACUCACAGCCUGGAAGGAUGGUCCCCUUUAAACCCUCUGUAGAUCUUCUAAAAUCUCUUACACCCAAAAAUAUAUCUGCUGCAGCCACAUCUACAGGUAACUGCUACCACAUCUACAGGUAACUGCUGCCACAUCUACAGGUAACUGCUGCCACGUCUACAGGUAACUGCUGCCACAUCUACAGGUAAUUGCUGCCACAUCUACAGGUAACUGCCAAAAUAAAGGGAACGCCAACAUAAGUGUCUUAAUUGGGCGUUGGGCCAACAUGAGCCAGAACAGCUUUAAUGCGCCUUGGCAUAUAUUCUACAAAUGUCUGGAAAUCUAUUUGGAGGGAUGCGACAUCUAUUUAUCCACAAGACAGUCCAUAAUUUGGUGUUUUGUUGAUAGUGGUGGGAAAGUCUCAGGCGCCGCUCCAGAAUCUCCCAUAAGUGUUCAAGUUGGUUGAUAUCUGGUUACUGAGAUGACCAUGGCAUAUGGUUUACACAAUUUAUGCUCAUCAAACCAUUCAGUGACCACUCGCACCCUGUGAAUGGGGACAUUGUCAUUCUAUGGAGGCAUAGCCACGGUAGCCAAAAUAAUGGCCUACCCAGUAUUUUUAUACAUGACCCUAAGCAUGAUGGGAUGUUAAUUGCUUAAUUAACUCAGGAACCAAACCUGUGUGGAAGCAUCUGCUUUCAAUAUACUUUGCAUCCCUCAUUUACUCAAUUGUUUCCAUUAUUUUGGCAGUUAACUGUAUUUUCUGGGAUUUACACUCCAUCAGUGCAGGACAGUUAAUAACCGUAGCAAUAAAUGCAAGAUACCCUACUUUACUAAAACUCAUCCUCUCUAGUGCUCUCUCUUCAGGCCUAUUCACUCACCCUUGGGCUGUCCUCUAUUCUCUUCACUGCCUCAGCAUAGGACACUUUCUGCACCACUCGAAUUCUGUCUAUCCCAACACUCUCUGACUAUGCCCUCCUGCACAUUUCUCACAUUGUGGGAUCUCCCCUCUAGACAUUGCUGCAACGUGUCUGAAUCCUUUGCAACUGAAGCACCAUAGCGGGUUCGGAACAUAGGCCUCACAGAAUAGCAAAUAUGACCUAACCUGACCUUAUCAGGUAGAAACUCUGUGUCAUAGUUCAAGACAGAUAGGGUAUUCUCAGUCUUGCCAUUGCCACCGGAUCUACGUCUCAACAAACGGCAGACGUCACAAACACCAGAAAUAUUCAUUUUCAGUUGAUCCACCUCUACACUCAAUGCUACCUGCUCCAGAGAGCAAAGCACGACACAGGUCGAUCCUGAGGAAUGUGACACGGAGCGCCCGCUGCCUCUGGGCAAAGGAUGCACAAAAGAAAAAGAAAAGCGUAACAAUUCUACUUCUCAAAACUUAGAAUACAUCUUUAUUCAUCCCCGAGAGGCAAUUCGUUCAGGGCUGACGGUGCUUCAGACAGGACAAACACACACACAGUAUAUUUCUUUUAAAGUAAGAGCCAAAAGAAAAACUAAGGCAUCAGUUAAAAGUGCAUGGUGCCAUUUUAAGUCCAUGGUAGCCACCGUUCUUAGUUUAGCCCUGCCAUUAAUUAUCUCCAGAAUAGUCCCUAGGUCUUCAUUAAUUGUCCUGUUAACCAGGCGAUUGGCCUCGGGCACAAACAACACCCUGCGCCUAUUGGUGGAACACUUGAGAAAGCACAGGCGACGUCCCAAAGGGGAGCAGAUGGAGCUGCGGGUUGAGGACACGGUGCUCUCCUCCACAAUGUCAUAGGCUUUCCUCCAGACUUCUGAAAGGCACCCCGGUGAUCUUUGAGCAGGUGUUCACAAUGGCUUGAAGCCAGUAUCUGUUCUUGACAGAGAGGGAUGUAAAACAGCAUACGAAGGACAACACAGAAUGCUCUCGUUGAAAGAACUGUAAAAAUGAUUGCAAUAUUGAUUUGUGGACACUUAAUGAGUUCAGUUUCCUGAGGAAGUAUUGUGUCUGCUAUUUUGAUGAUGGUCGUCUGUGUUUUGCUCAAACUUCCGGGUGUUAUCAAAGAUGGUACCAAGAUAUUUAUACUGGUCCACAUUGUCCACCUCCUCUCCAUCAAUGAUCAUCAUACUGGCGGGCUUCCUCCUGAAGUCGACAAUAAUUGUAUUUUGUCUUAAAGACAUUCAACUCCAGCAGCGUACUGCCACACCAGUCAAUGAAGUCCUGGAUGGCUGGGCCAUGGUCAGGCUCUUGAGAGGAGUGACUGGAGGACUGAGUCAUCGGCAAACUUCAUAAAAUGGCGGUUGGUGUGGGCACUCAGUCAUUGGUGUAGAAAAUAAAAAGGAGGGGUGGCACCCUUGUGGUGAACCUGUGCAAGUGAGUAGAGUGUCUAACGUGGCCCCAUUAGCAUAGACUCUCCAUAAUCCACAAGUUAAGGCUGUGGUCCUUAUUGGUUGGCGAAUAGUUCAAAGGGUGUGGUUAAAUUAAAAAGUUAUUUACGCUGUUCUUUGAAAUACAGUACUGCUUAUUACAUUACACAUCAAAUCUCUUAUGAUCAGUAUCUUUCAAGCUGAGCGCAGACUUGUUUAGAAAGAACAGUGUGUUAGCAAGAAUAGAGUAGAAAAUAAUAUAAUUACUUUAUUCCAUCUACAUCACCUCAGUAAGGUAAAUAUUCAACUGUCCUUGUUCUAGCCUAGAUGUACUGUCUCUUAAAAACAAGUUAACAAAGUGUUAAUGAGGGGGUAUGUUGUUAAUUACACUCUUACCAAGACACUUCACAUGAUAACUAUAAUAUGUCAGCUAAAGAAUGAUUCCCUGACAUCCCCUGCGUACAUCUGAAGACACACUGCUACGAUUUCUCCCCGUUGUGGACACUCCUAUGUCUGAUAAGCUCUUGUAGUUUAGUCUGCACUUGAAGGGUGUGAACGGUCUGGUGCUGCUUCACAUAGUUAGCCUCAGUAAAGCGCUUUCCACACGUGGGGCAGACGUACGGCUUGUCGGUGUCCGUCUUAAUGCUUGGCCUCCCACGUUGUGACCCAAUGACACCAGAGGUAGAAACGGGAGUCACCACCCUCAAGUGGUUAGUCUUUGAGCUCCCUCCUUGACCUCUAGCCAUUGUUUGGGUGUUGUUGGGAUUGUGUGCUGUGUUAUAGGCUAGGUGAACGCCCAUCCUGACCUUGUCUGUAUUGGUGGGGUAAUCAUGAGGUAACUGCGGAAGGCUAGACCCAGGUCCAGGCCUUCUAUGGACCCAGUCACCGGGCAUUAGAUGUGACCCUGAAGGAGAAGACAGACUUCCUGUUAGACUCCCACCAGGGGGGUCUCGCACAGCUCUCUGUGAAGGCUGAAGCCCAGGGUGACCUGCUCUGUUAAUCAUGGAUACUGUGGUGUUUGUAUCAUAGGAACAGGAGGGUCUAUCUCUAUCAGCCCCAGGCCCUGCUUCAUCACUGCACUGAGACUGUGAAGAGAAGGAUCUGGGCUGCAGACUGGAUCCAUGACUGGAGCCUCUGUCUCUCUGAUGACCACCAGGACUGAGGUUGUUUAGUCCACCUGUCCACUGGUUGUGUUCUGUGUAAUGGUGGUGGAGUGUCUGUCCCUUACGGUUGGGUUCUGGUUCUGACUCUGGAAGGAAGAGCGACGGCUCCUGAUCCAUAAUCUGGUGCCAGGGUUUGUGACCAGCCGCUUCAGAGGUCCAGUCUCUCCCGCCAGUAACACCGGAUAUCAGCAAGUCUUCAUGGACUGCAGACUGCAAACAAAGAUGGUACAGAAAAGCAUAAAGGUUUAUGUAAGAAACUCUUUGCUUUACACACAAACAUGACAUUAUUAUAAAAUAUUAACCACAGUCAAGCCCAUCUCUAACACUGUGAUUUAAGUACCUAACAAUAUGGAGCCAUUGGAAUCUUUGCAAUGAUACAAAAAUAACCAAGUCAGACAGCACCGAGUGAAUUUAGUAUUUAAUUUAAACAAAAUGGCAUUACAAUCACAUUUAUUGCACAAAACGAUACGUGACAAGAAUAACUUCUCACUAUGGUAACACUAUACCUUUUCUGUAAAUCUGGUACCCUCGCUUUGAUAAAAUUAAUUUUAGAAUACUUUGGAAAAGGUUCAAUACAACAUUACACACAGCUUCACAACUUAAUGUCAAGUAAACAUGAAGUAAGGCACUAUUGCUCAUAUUGAGGUAUAUACAGUACCAGUCAAACGUUUGGACACCUACUCAUUCCAGGGUUUUUAUUUUAUUUUUAGUAUUUUCUACAUUGUCGAACAAUAGUGAAGACAUCAAGGCAAAAGGUGGCUACUUCGAAGAAUCUCAAACAUAAAAUAUAUAGUUGAUGUCUUCACUAUUAUUCUACAAUGUAAAAAGAAAAACCCUGGAAUGAGUCUGUGUCCAAACGUUUGACUGGUACUGUAUAUACCUCAAUAUGUGCAAUUCAAUGUUAUUUACAUAUUUGUAUUAUUACAUUUUUUGGGGGGUCAGUCUUAUGUCUGGAGUAUUUCUCCUGUCUUAUCUGGUGUCCUGUGUGAAUUGAAGUAUGCUCCCUCUAAUUCUCUCUCUUUCUCCUCUCGGAGGACCUGAGCCCUAGGACCAUGCCUCAGGACUACCUGGCCUGAUGACUCCUUGCUGUCCCCAGUCCACCUGGUCAUGCUGCUGCUCCAGUUUCAACUGUUCUGCCUGCGGCUAUGAAACCCUGACCUGUUCACCUGACGUGCUACCUUGUCCCGACAUUUACUCCUGAGGUGCUGACCUGUUGCACCCUCUACAACCACUGAUUAUUAUUAUUUGAAUCUGCUGGUCAUCUAUGAACGUUUGAACAUCUUUGGCCGUGUACUGUUAUAAUCUCCACCCGGCACAGCCAGAAGAGGACUGGCCACCCCGCAGAGCCUGGUUCCUCUCUAGGUUUCUUCCUAGGUUCCUGCCUUUCUAGGGAAUUUUUCCAAGCCACUAUGCUUCUACAUCUGCAUUGCUUGCUGUUUGGGGUUUUAGGCUGGGUUUCUGUAUAGCACUUUGUGAUAUUGGCUGAUGUAAAAAGGGCUUUAUAAAUAAACGUGAUUGAUUGAACUAAGAGCAUUCAAGUCAAAUCAAAUUUUAUUGGUCUCAGCAGAUGUUAAUGCAUUAGCAGAUGUUAAUGCGAGUGUAGCAAAAUGCUUGUAGCUAAGUCAACACGGAGCCAUGCUGACUGACAAGUGGCGUGGAUUGGUACAGCUCGGCUCAGUCCCAAAUUGCGUGUUAUUAUUUGGCUAAAUUAUCAUCCGUAGUUGCCUACAGCCACAGCAGUCUUAACAAAAUGGACUGUUACCUUGAUUGCAACAGUAAGGUGGUAAAACAUUUAAACUCCUUUUGAACUGUGACAUUUCCUGACAACUUGUUCUCUUUCUCUUUCUCUAGACAGAGUUAUGGAUGCAAGGACAGGCCAUGGCUCCUCCUAAAACCCCAUUGGAGGAGACGGCCCAAGGUUCCUCGCCUCAGACCUCUUCCAAUGGGUUUUAAGAAGGAUGCGAGUAGAGGAAAUGGCUCUGGCUUGCUGAUGAAAUCUGAUGAAACUCCCUAUACGAUUUGACCCCUGUAUUAGACCUGUAAAACUUUCAAUGCCAAAUUGAAAUCGUUCAAGAUUCUGUAAUUGAUAGACAAUGAUGGGUCCCAAUCAGCCAAUUACUAUACAUCAAAUCUGUUUCUCAGUGCAAUGUUUGGUGAAUGCAUGGCAUUGUUUUUACCUCAGUCCUCCUUUGAAUGCUGUGUAUACUGAUUCAAUUCUAAACGACCAUCAUCGAGUCCAUCCUCACCUCCUUGAUCAUUGCAAUGAUUGGCCGGUCUGCUGAGAGGGUUAUUGGCUGCCACCUGCCCUCCAUUGAGGUCUUACAUGACUCUAGGGCAAGGAACCGUACAGGAAAGAUCAUCGCCGACCCCUUCCACCAUCUCUUCCAAACGGUUCAGGUCAAUCACGACCAAAACCCGUCCCGCCACCUAAACAGUUUCUUCCACCGAGCCGUGGCCCUCACCAACCGGCCACCUGGUUCACGAUGAUUCUCUCGUCUAUGGACUUUGCACCCUGCACCAUUAUCCCAGAGCUGCACAUUGCUCUUUGCACUCUCUGCAUAUCGCUUAAAUGCAUCAUUUAUCAUGUAUCUUAUAGUUUAGUCUAAAGUUUUGUGGAUCUGUGGAAAUUCUGAGUCUAUAUAUUUUGUCUGUUUAUUGUGACAGCACCAUUUCAGAGUCAAAUUCCUGUACAUGCAAAUAUAUUUGGGGAAUAAAGCUGAUUCUGACAUGUUUA